rnacentral:tRNA from 1 species
AGUAAAAUGCCUGAAAUUAAAGGGUUAUCUUGAUAGGAUAAAUUAUGUAUAAUAAUACUUUUACUA